rnacentral:rRNA from 1 species
AACGAACGCUGGCGGCGCGCCUAAUACAUGCAAGUCGAGCGAGAAGGUGUAGCAAUACACUUGUAAAGCGGCGAACGGGUGAGGAAUACAUGGGUAAUCUACCAUCGAGUGGGGAAUAACCAGCCGAAAGGUUGGCUAAUACCGCGUACGCCUCCGAAUCUUCGGGUUCGGAGGGAAAGCCACACUGUGAGUGCGGCGCUCUUUGAUGAGCUCAUGUCCUAUCAGCUUGUUGGUAGGGUAACGGCCUACCAAGGCUUUGACGGGUAGCUGGUCUGAGAGGACGAUCAGCCACACUGGCACUGCGACACGGGCCAGACUCCUACGGGAGGCAGCAGUAAGGAAUAUUGCGCAAUGGGCGAAAGCCUGACGCAGCGACGCCGCGUGGGGGAUGAAGGUCUUCGGAUUGUAAACCCCUUUCGGGAGGGAAGAUGGAGCGAGCAAUCGUUCGGACGGUACCUCCACGAAGCAGCCACGGCCAACUUCGUGCCAGCAG